rnacentral:piRNA from 1 species
UGUCUUGAUAAAGGACGACAAUCUACCUC